GAAUACUCUCAUCCUCUCCCUUCUCAGCCUCCUAAAUACCCAAGUGAAUUUAUAUAAUGAGCUUUAUUUUAUCACCCUGAAAUUCUUCCUCAGUCCAAAUUGCUAAUGUGGCAGGUUCCAGCUGCCCAAAUUCCCUAAACAACAUUGCCUGUUCCAUAAAAAGCAUGCAAUUACAAGCACAGCAGUCCUGCUCUGGUUCUUAGAACUAUAAACUGACUACACAGCUCCCUGGCCCGGGAAGGCUAUGAAACAGGCAACAUGGACAAUUUAAAGGUGUACAACAUCCGAGGUUCCAUUUCACCCUCAGGCAGCACGGAGUGGACAAGAGAUGGGGUCUCACUUUGUCACCCAGGCUGGGCUCAAACUCUUGGCUUCAAGCGAUCUUCUCGCCUUGGUCUCCCAAAGUGCUGGGAUUACAGGCUUGAACUACUGUACUCGACUGACUUUUCCUAUUUCUAAUGUCAGCAUGAAGAACACAAGAAGUCAGCUUCAAAGGUGGAGUCUUGCUCUGUCACACAGGCUAGAGUGCAGUGGCACAAUCUCAGCUCACUGCAACCUCCGCCUCCUGGAUUCAAGCGAUUCUCAUGCCUCAGCCUCCCGAGUAGCUUGGAUUACAGGCAUCUGCCACUACGCCUGGCUAAUUUUUGUAUUUUUGUAUUUCACCAUGUUGGCCAAGCUAAUCUCGAACUCCUGACCUCAAGCGAUCCCCCCGCCUCAGCCUCUCAAAGUGCUGGGAUUACAGGCAUGAGCCACUGUGCCCAGCCUAAAUAAUUUUUUUCUACUUCAGAUUACUUCUUUAUCAUAGACCAAAGAAAAUGGGGAAAAAGGAUUUAAGAAACUCCUAAGAGGCUAGUAAAAGUUGUUACAGCCACAGAAAUUACAAGUAAAAAGAGUUUGGAAAAAUCUGUUUAUACCACCAAUUCACAUAUACUUCCAUUAAAUAUAGCUCUAAAUAUUUGCCAUUAAUGCUAAAGAUGAAAAAAAUUUUUUUAAAUUUCUAUUUAUUUAUUUUUGUAGAUAUGGAAUCUUGCCAUGUUGUCCAGGCUGGUCUGGAACUCCUGGGCUCAAACCAUCCUCCUGCCUCAGCCUCCCAAAAAUAGUUUUUUGACAAAACAUCCUAACACUAAAUUUCACCCAACUAGUUUCUUCCCUCCUCUAUGGUAGAGGCCCACUGUCUCAAUUCUUUCAUAUUUCUCAUCAUAAACAGGUUCCUCUACAAUAAAUGCCUGUUCAGAACUGCUAACAUUUGUAUGUGUUUACCAAUGUUCUUGUGAAGUAUUUUUGUGACAAAUAACUACUGUUAUGGACAUAUCAUUUGCAGAUAAUGAAAAAUAAAACCAAGAUUCUCUUCUUUGCUGAUGAAGUCAGGAAGGUGGAAAGGGCAAAGCAAGAACUCUCACUCUUACCCUAUGAGUAAUUUCAAUAGAAAUCAAAGGCGUUAACUUCUCGGGUCCUCAAUUUUUUCUUCUCUAAAAAGAAAGAAUUGUUUAAUAAAACUCAUCCAAGGCUACAAUCAUCAAUGGCAGCUAAAACCACUUAGUGAAAGAAUUUUUUUUUUAAUAAAAAAAGGACAUUGGAUGAUGUCUCAACUCCCAAGCACUUGAUGUUUGACUUGGGAGUGGUGCCCUCAGUCACACCUAAAACUAUCUGCGGCAGACCCUGUUCUUUUUGGCUGACACAAAUGCCAUUCCCAACCUCCUUCUCCUCCUGUCUUGUCUCAAUCGUAGAGUCUAGAAGAGCAAACAUUCACUUUGCAGCCUCCCUUGUACCAAGGAGUGGCCAUGAGACAAUUCUGCCCAAUGAAUCAGAAGAGGAAUUGUGUUGAGGAUUUCUGGAAAGACUACUUCUUUUCCCAAGAAAAAGUGACAGACGCAGUAGGGGCUGAGCAACUUCCGUGCCUCUUCCAGCCUUACGGAUGUGCUGUUGGUAGCUGUGACUGCCUUGCUACUACGAGGAAAAGGAAGGCCAAGAGAAUAGCAGAGACACUCGCUCUGAUGCCUUUGAGCCAAUGAAUCAAUGCCAGAAGCAGCUGACCUCCAGAGUUCUUGUUACAGGAUUAAAAUAAAUCUCUACUUAUUUGCCAUUGUCACUU
rnacentral:lncRNA from 1 species